rnacentral:lncRNA from 1 species
UAAAGUGAAAAUGCUACUUUAAUUUCACCAAUCAUAGAGUGUUAAAAAGGGACUAUAUCCAUACAACGCAUUAAAAAUUCUAAAAGGGAUCUCAUUGGAACAUACAUUUAUAUAUUUUUUUCAUUAAUAUAUAAAAUUUAUAAUUCAAACAAAAUAAUUUGAGUUUUGAGUUGGUGAUGAAUUUCUAUGUUGAGUUUGAGAGAAACAAAAAGAAGAAGGAACAAGAAGAGGAAAUACAUUAGAAGAAAAGAAAGUUUAAAUCAUGGUUUUCCUUUCUUUCUUGAUUAUACGUUUGUUUUGUGGAAGAGUUGUUUCAGUUUAUUCUUUUUGUUGUUACUUUUAUUUAUCCCACGAAAUUAUUAGUUGGAAGUUGGAACCAAAAUCGUUGAAACAUUUGGGAAAAGUCUUUAGAAUUUUAGUAAAAAAAUAAGGUGAAGACCAAGACUGGGAAAAGUCUUUUGAAACAUUCGGCAUCAAAGAUAUUUUAAGCAGAGGCAAGGCCAAGGAGAAAGAUCCAAAACGUCUUUUUGUUAAUUUGUACGUAGAUAGGCGUCUUGUUAAUUUAACUAUUCUUUUUUCACCCUUUGUGAAAGGGGCAGGACAGAUUAUUAUUUUAAUUUUUUCUUUGAAAAAUACCAAAUCACGUAUUUGGAUAAAUAAUAAUCGAGGAUAAUAUUAUAUGUAAAUAUUUUUUUUGAAAUGGCUAUUAUACGUAAAUAUUAUAUUUUUUACCGGAG